AUGGGGUCUAACAAAACCCUUGGCCUCCUAUGUGGCAUACUAACAUGCAAAACUGCUGCUUGUCAGGACAAAAAACCAUCUACACAAACCAGUAGACGGAACCUUUUCUUUCAAAUCAAUAAUAUGUUUUAUCCCAACCCAACCAUCUGGAAUAUGUACAUGAAGGAAUACAUUUCACAUAAUGUCAUGCUUGCAUCGAUCAGAAUAUCAGAGCGCGACCUGGAAGACCUGGAGCCGGAAUUUAGCGGUCUCGAUCAGUUUGUUGCGGGCAAAGGCGGUCAGCGCCUGCUGCACUACGAGUAUGCCAUUGGGGACGUUCUCCUGCGCCAUCUUGUCGGCGUAGCUGGUGACCACCUUCGUGCCGGGCUUGGGUUCGUUCGGGAAGAAGACGUAGAUCUGGAGGGGCAUUGCCAACGCCGUCAAUCAGCCGACGCCCUAGCUAGUACGGAAAUCGUCGGGGAGGUGGGGACGCACCUGGUCGUCGGGGUUGUCCUUCUUGGCGCGGUUGAUGACGAGGUCAUCGCGGCGCACGGGGUCGCCCCGCCGGACACCCCCAUCCCUGACCUGCCCUGGGUGAUGCUGGAUCGCAUCGCCCACUGCACCUUGCCGGGCGACGACACAGACGCCGACGGCACGACACCGGAGGUCUCCGAGACCUGCACCGGUAGGCCCAUCGCCGUCUCCCUCAGGGUCGCUCCGCCCCCCGCCGUGUCUCGUCUCUACCUCCACUUUCCAGAUGGGCUCAGGCCAGAGAUGAAGCUGCUGGAACCGCCCUCCGUCCUCGCGGCUCAUGGCCGCUCCAUACUUUUCCAGACCUAUGUCCCGCACAUUGACCAGUGCCGCCCCAACUAUUACCCCAUGGACUACUUCGUCUACACGGCCCCCGGCCGCCCAGGCAAGCGCCCGUUCCUAAGGCGGCUCCCGCCUUGCUUCAAGGGUGGGCAAGUGAACCCGGAAGUGGACAAGCUCUUCCUCCCGUACCGGUACCAGCAACAGCGGACGAUGAACAGCGAUAACAUCGGCCUGCUGUGCUACGGCGAGGAGGAGUUCACGGUGGCCGAGCUCUAUUCAUGGGGCGAGCUCUGCCUGCUGCACCAUGCACCUGGGAAGGCCAUGGAAUGGGAAUUCAGGACGCUGCAGAUGCCUUAUGGCAAGGGCGUCCCUGACUUUCUGUAUGGUUCCUGGAAUACCGACUCCGUCAUCCCCUUUGGCGGUUCCUUGUGCUGGGUCGAUUGCUACCUCGGCUUGCUGUUUGUCACCGUGCAUGGAGAUCUUACAAGGCCGCCCCGCUAUGUCUCGAUGCCAGCAGAUCUGGACACUCGUCGUCUCUAUAUUGACCCAGGGGUCCCUGACCCAGCACGCCGUGUGUGUGUCACUGACAGCGGCAUGGUUAAGCUCAUUUGUAUCAGCGAUGCUGCAGGCCGCAGCGUGCAUAUACAUUCUUCUGAUUUCAAAAUCAGGACAUGGAAUCUGUCCAACGGGAUAUGGAAAAAAGAUGCCACCAUGGAAGCCCGUGAGCUCGAGAAUGUUCUUUCCUCUGACAAGCGCCAACCACUGCUCCUGCCAAAGUUUCCUAUCAUGAACUUGGUUGAUCAUGAUGUUGUCUGCUUUGUGUUGAAUAAUAGAGACCGCAAUUUCUGGCUGGUUGAGGUCAAUCUGAGGAAGAAGGCGCUUGGGGCAGUCACCCUCUAUACCAACGAAGAAAAAGAAAACCAAGCAGCAGCAGAAGAACACCUGACCUGGGAUGACAUUGUCCGCAAUACCUUCUUCACCACCGUCUCCGUCAACUCCAUCUCCUUCAUCCCCAGCCAAUUCACCAUGUACUUGGAUAAGCAUGCCAUCAAAAGGUACUUAAGUCUCAUGUUAUGUGAUUAUCCUUGCCAUUCAUGUUAA
rnacentral:rRNA from 1 species